GCGGGAGUGCUGGAAUUGGCAGACAGGCAUGACUAAGGAUCAUGUGAAUGGAUUUUCGUGUGGGUUCAAGUCCCAUCUCCCGCAUCA
rnacentral:tRNA from 1 species